rnacentral:tRNA from 1 species
UCUUCCUUGGUGUAGGGGUUAGCAUCUUAGCCUGUCACGCUAAAGACCUGGGUUCGAUUCCAGAGGGAGAG